AAAAGGAUCAUACCGUGACAG
rnacentral:miRNA from 1 species